rnacentral:tRNA from 1 species
GACACGAUGGCCGAGUGGUUAAGGCGUUAGACUUGAAUUAGCUUAAAAUACUUCAUGCCAUCUAAUGGGUUCGCCCGCGUAGGUUCAAAUCCUGCUCGUGUCG